UGGGGAAUUUUGGACAAUGGGCGAAAGCCUGAUCCAGCAAUGCCGCGUGCAGGAUGAAGGCCUUCGGGUUGUAAACUGCUUUUGUACGGAACGAAACGGCUCUUUCUAAUAAAGAGGGCUAAUGACGGUACCGUAAGAAUAAGCACCGGCUAACUACGUGCCAGCAGCCGCGGUAAUACGUAGGGUGCGAGCGUUAAUCGGAAUUACUGGGCGUAAAGCGUGCGCAGGCGGUUAUGUAAGACAGUUGUGAAAUCCCCGGGCUCAACCUGGGAAUUGCAUCUGUGACUGCAUAGCUAGAGUACGGUAGAGGGGGAUGGAAUUCCGCGUGUAGCAGUGAAAUGCGUAGAUAUGCGGAGGAACACCGAUGGCGAAGGCAAUCCCCUGGACCUGUACUGACGCUCAUGCACGAAAGCGUGGGGAGCAAACA
rnacentral:rRNA from 1 species